rnacentral:rRNA from 1 species
GACGAACGCUGGCGGCGUGCUUAACACAUGCACGUCGAACGGAAAGGCCCUGCUUUUGUGGGGUGCUCGAGUGGCGAUCGGGUGAGUAACACGUGAGUAACCUGCCCUCUACUUUGGGGUAACUUCAGGAAACUGGGGCUAAUACCGGAUAGGAGCUCCUGCUGCAUGGUGGGGGUUGGAACGUUUCGGCGGUUGGGGAGGGACUCGCGGCUUAUCAGCUUGUUGGUGGGGUAGUGGCUUACCAAGGCAUUGACGGGUAGCCGGCCUGAGAGGGUGACCGGACACAUUGUGAAUGAGAUACGGCCCAGACUCCUACGGGAGGCAGAAGGGGGGAAUAUUGCACAAUGGGCGGAAGCCGGAUGCAGCAACGCCGCGUGCGGGAUGACGGCCUUCGGGUUGUAAACCGCUUUCGCCUGUGACGAAGCGUGAGUGACGGUAAUGGGUAAAGAAGCACCGGCUAACUACGUG